GUAGACCUUCACUGUAAAUAAGAAUUUGUUCUUAACCGUCUUGCCUAGUUAAAUAAUUACCAAUUCCCCCCCCCCCCCUGACAGCAUCAAUAAUCACCAAAUCAACACAUCUUAAUAGCUUCACAAAUGUAUUCCUUUCAGAAAAUAACUUACAUUCAUUCAUGUGACAGCACAUUUCCAGUGUUCCUUUUCUUGUCAUUUGUCUUAAGUUGCAUUUACACAGGUUGCCCAAUUCUGAUCUUUUGGCCCCAAUAUUGGCAAAAGAUCUGAUCUGAUUGGGCAAGAGAUCAGAAUUGGGCAACCUGUGUGAACGUAGCCUUACACACAGUAAAGAGGUUAGACAUUGCAUUAGCAGAAAGAUUUCUGGCGGAUAUAUUUACAGGUACAGUACAUUCAGAUCAGAGUGAUAAAAAGCUCCAUCCUAUCAGAUCAGAGUGAUAAAAAGGUCCAUCCUAUCAGAUCAGAGUGAUAAAAAGGUCCAUCCUAUCAGAUCAGUGAUAAAAAGGUCCAUCCUAUCCUAUCAGAUCAGUGAUAAAAGGUCCAUCCUAUCAAAUCAGUGAUAAAAAGUCCAUCCUAUCAGAUCAGUGAUAAAAAGGUCCAUCCUAUCAGAUCAGAGUGAUAAAAAGGUCCAUCCUAUCAGAUCAGAGUGAUAAAAGGUCCAUCCUAUCAGAUCAGUGAUAAAAAGCUCCAUCCUAUAAAGCUUUCCAGACUAUAGAUGCUGUUGUUUAAAUAUCAGCAGAAGAAACUUAAUCAAGAACAAAAAAACACAAAAAAAAAAGGAUUCUCAGAUCAAAAGACAAACCAGUUUGCAUAAUUCUUAAGAUCACAAAACAAAAGCUUUGAACAACCAAAUCACUUGCUUGUUUUGGAGUUAUUGGCAGAACAUAAAAUAGAUGAAUACAGAAGCUACUCUAUAGCCAUGUUCUCUGGUCUUUACCAGGGAUUAAACUCCUGUUCACUAACACUAACUAACGAGGGUCAGGGGAUACCACUAAGGCUUCUCCUGUUCACUAACGAGGGUCAAGGGAUUCCACUAAGGCUUCUCCUGUUCACUAACGAGGGUCAAGGGAUUCCACUAAGGCUUCUCCUGUUCACUAACACUAACUAACGAGGGUCAAGGGAUACCACUAAGGCUUCUCCUGUUCACUAACGAGGGUCAAGGGAUUCCACUAAGGCUUCUCCUGUUCACUAACACUAACUAACGAGGGUCAAGGGAUACCACUAAGGCUUCUCCUGUUCACUAACGAGGGUCAAGAGAUACCACUAAGGCUUCUCCUGUUCACUAACGAGGGUCAAGGGAUUCCACUAAGGCUUCUCCUGUUCACUAACGAGGGUCAAGGGAUUCCACUAAGGCUUCUCCUGUUCACUAACGAGGGUCAAGGGAUUCCACUAAGGCUUCUCCUGUUCACUAACGAGGGUCAGGGGAUACCACUAAGGCUUCUCCUGUUCACUAACGAGGGUCAAGGGAUUCCACUAAGGCUUCUCCUGUUCACUAACGAGGGUCAAGGGAUACCACUAAGGCUUCUCCUGUUCACUAACACUAACUAACGAGGGUCAAGGGAUACCACUAAGGCUUCUCCUGUUCACUAACGAGGGUCAAGGGAUUCCACUAAGGCUUCUCCUGUUCACUAACGAGGGUCAAGGGAUUCCACUAAGGCUUCUCCUGUUCACUAACACUAACUAACGAGGGUCAAGGGAUACCACUAAGGCUUCUCCUGUUCACUAACGAGGGUCAAGGGAUUCCACUAAGGCUUCUCCUGUUCACUAACACUAACUAACGAGGGUCAAGGGAUACCACUAAGGCUUCUCCUGUUCACUAACGAGGGUCAAGAGAUACCACUAAGGCUUCUCCUGUUCACUAACGAGGGUCAAGGGAUUCCACUAAGGCUUCUCCUGUUCACUAACGAGGGUCAAGGGAUUCCACUAAGGCUUCUCCUGUUCACUAACGAGGGUCAAGGGAUUCCACUAAGGCUUCUCCUGUUCACUAACGAGGGUCAGGGGAUACCACUAAGGCUUCUCCUGUUCACUAACGAGGGUCAAGGGAUUCCACUAAGGCUUCUCCUGUUCACUAACGAGGGUCAAGGGAUACCACUAAGGCUUCUCCUGUUCACUAACGAGGGUCAAGGGAUUCCACUAAGGCUUCUCCUGUUCACUAACGCUAACUAACGAGGGUCAGGGGAUUCCACUAAGGCUUCUCCUGUUCACUAACGCUAACUAACGAGGGUCAGGGGAUUCCACUAAGGCUUCUCCUGUUCACUAACGCUAACUAACGAGGGUCAGGGGAUUCCACUAAGGCUUCUCCUGUUCACUAACGAGGGUCAAGGGAUUCCACUAAGGCUUCUCCUGUUCACUAACGAGGGUCAAGGGAUACCACUAAGGCUUCUCCUGUUCACUAACGAGGGUCAAGGGAUACCACUAAGGCUUCUCCUGUUCACUAACGAGGGUCAAGGGAUACCACUAAGGCUUCUCCUGUUCACUAACGAGGGUCAAGGGAUACCACUAAGGCUUCUCCUGUUCACUAACGAGGGUCAAGGGAUACCACUAAGGCUUCUCCUGUUCAUUAACACUAACUAACGAGGGUCAAGGGAUACCACUAAGGCUUCUCCUGUUCACUAACGAGGGUCAAGGGAUACCAUUAAGGCUUCUCCUGUUCAUUAACACUAACUAACGAGGGUCAAGGGAUACCACUAAGGCUUCUCCUGUUCAUUAAUGAGGGUCAGGGGAUACCACUAAGGCUUCUCCUGUUCACUAUCGAGGGUCAAGGGAUUCCACUAAGGCUUCUCCUGUUCACUAACGAGGGUCAAGAGAUACCACUAAGGCUUCUCCUGUUCAUUAACACUAACGAGGGUCAGGGGAUACCACUAAGGCUUCUCCUGUUCACUAACAAUAACGAGGGUCAGGGGAUACCACUAAGGCUUCUCCUGUUCACGAACACUAACGAGGGUCAGGGGAUACCACUAAGCCUUCUCCUGUUCAUUAACGAGGGUCAAGGAAUACCACUAAUCCUUCUCCUGUUCAUUAACACUAACGAGGGUCAGGGGAUACCACUAAGGCUUCUCCUGUUCACUAACACUGAGGGUCAGGGGAUACCACUAAGCCUUCUCCUGUUCACUAACACUAACGAGGGUCAGGGGAUACCACUAAGCCUUCUCCUGUUCACUAACACUGAGGGUCAGGGGAUACCACUAAGCCUUCUCCUGUUCACUAACACUAACGAGGGUCAGGGGAUACCACUAAGGCUUCUCCUGUUCACUAUCGAGGGUCAAGAGAUACCUCUGAGGAUUUUGCUUUAACGCUAAAUCACUCAAUAGAGCCUUAUCAUGGGCGUAAAGCAGAUGCAUGAGGCAAAUGUCCUUGUGCUGUGGCAAGUAAUAUUCCUUGUACAAACAGAGCUCUUUCAUAAUACAGAUUUGAUGGCUCCAAUUCACGAGAUGCGUACACUAUGUAAAUACUAGAGGAAGACGAGCUUCACAUUGAGCCAGGCUAACAUACUGAAAACUGACUUGAACGGCAGGCAUGUAUUCACAAUGCUUCAAUACCAGACUUGUGAGGUUGUCUUCGGGAGUGUCUAAUACAUUGAUGCAAAAAAAAGAAAACAAACAACAACUUUAUUUUAACUUCACUCAAUUUAACUUGGCAGGAAAUUUGAGGUUUGUAAGUACAGAGAAACGUCUUUACGUAAUGUUACCUCACAGCACAAGGACGUCAGUUACUGACGCAUCUUUACAGGACGUCAGUUACUGACGCAUCUUUACAGGACGUCAGUUACUGACGCAUCUUUACAGGACGUCAGUUACUGACGCAUCUUUACAGGGCGUCGUUUUCGGACGCUUGAGGUGUUUCAACAUAUCAGUAGUUAUUACACUUCAAUAAAUAUAAUGUAAAUUGGGACCUGCUAUUGGGGGUAAAUAUAAUAUACAAAUCUCAUAAAUAUUGAAAUGGUAAUCCCAAAUUUAACCAUUGAUCCAGACUAGUACCAAGGCCUAUUGUCACUUUCACAAGAGCAUGCAUGCAAAUAUGAACAGGGGAUGCUUGCAAUAACUGAGCCAAAAGCAACAAACAAUACAGAAAACCACAACAUGAACAUUUGAAAAAUCAUCCCCCCCCUCCCAAAAAGAUCUUUAUGAAAUCAAGUCAGAAUCCCAUGCAGUUGAAUGAUACCAUCUACUAACCCGACUAAACCCCAUGUUGCAGUGAGACUGACUUCACAUAGGCCUAACUGAAGCCUUCACAAAACAACACUGAAUCAUAAACACUUUACAUGAAGAAGAAAACAAAAAGAGACCGUAGGGCACAGAAUCAUAGUUCUACUAAAAACUAAAAAGGCAACAAAACAAGUUUGAGGUGAGAAGUGGGUGGCACAGAGUAGCCAGUAAGUAAACUGCUACCCAGUUUGACAACGGUGCCACCUGAUAGGCGGAGGUCAUUAACCAACAGGGAGAGGAGGAAGGCAAAAAAAAAAAAAAA